rnacentral:rRNA from 1 species
AACGUAGGACACGAGCGUUAUCCGGAGUUACUGGGCGUAAAGGGCGGGUAGGUGGUGCGAUAAGACUGGUGUGAAAGCCUUCGGCUUAACCGAGGGAGGACACUGGUGACUGUCGGACUUGAGGCAGAUAGAGGGGUGUAGAAUUCCGGGUGUAGUGGUGGAAAUGCGUAGAGAUCCGGAGGAAUACCAGAGGCGAAGGCGGCACCCUGGGUCUGACCUGACACUGAUCCGCGACAGCAUGGGGAGCGAACGGGG